UUCGGGUUGUAAAGCUCUUUCGCACGCGACGAUGAUGACGGUAGCGUGAGAAGAAGCCCCGGCUAACUUCGUGCCAGCAGCCGCGGUAAUACGAAGGGGGCUAGCGUUGUUCGGAAUUACUGGGCGUAAAGGGCGCGUAGGCGGUGCAUCAAGUCAGGCGUGAAAGCCCCGGGCUCAACCUGGGAACCGCGCUUGAGACUGGUGCGCUAGAGUUCGGGAGAGGAUGGUGGAAUUCCCAGUGUAGAGGUGAAAUUCGUAGAUAUUGGGAAGAACACCAAUGGCGAAGGCAGCCAUCUGGACCGACACUGACGCUGAUGCGCGAAAGCGUGGGGAGCAAACAGGAUUAGAUACCCUGGUAGUCCACGCCGUAAACUAUGAGUGCUAGACGUCAGGGCCAUCGAGGGCUUCGGUGUCGCAACUAACGCAUUAAGCACUCAACCUGGGGAGUACGGCCGCAUGGUUAAAAC
rnacentral:rRNA from 1 species